rnacentral:tRNA from 1 species
GGUUUAUGUUUAGGGUGUGUAUUUGGUUGUGCUCUGCAAAGGCAUAAGAGAUCUUUGUUGAUCCA